rnacentral:tRNA from 1 species
GGUGGCUCAAUGCUUAAAGUGUUUGGCUGUUAACCAAAAGGAUGGUGGUUUGAACCCAUCAGCCA